rnacentral:lncRNA from 1 species
GGAAGGUCUAGGCUGAAUUGGGGUAUUGGAGAGUAUUACUCACAUUGAUGUACAUGUAUAAUUAUGGUACAGGGUACACCGACUUGUCAGCUGUGACGCACACCAUGUCCUAGACAGUGACUCUACAAUGGCGUACUCCUGAAUGGUGUUCAAGAGGUAAGGGACAUUCAACUACUGGAAAGCCUGGGCGCAGUAAAUAUCUAUCAUCGUAAACCAGAUCGUACCUGUCAGCUAUGAAGCACACAACAUCCUAAGAAUUGACUCUUUCAUGGUGUCCUUCUGAAAGUUUUCGUCAGAAUUGGUU